rnacentral:rRNA from 1 species
UGGCAGCAGUGGGGAAUAUUGGACAAUGGGCGAAAGCCUGAUCCAGCAAUGCCGCGUGAGUGAUGAAGGCCUUAGGGUUGUAAAGCUCUUUUACUGGGGAUGAUAAUGACAGUACCCAGAGAAUAAGCUCCGGCUAACUCCGUGCCAGCAGCCGCGGUAAUACGGAGGGAGCUAGCGUUGUUCGGAAUUACUGGGCGUAAAGCGCACGUAGGCGGCUUUUUAAGUCAGGGGUGAAAUCCCGGGGCUCAACCCCGGAACUGCCUUUGAAACUGGAGAGCUAGAAUCCUGGAGAGGUGAGUGGAAUUCCGAGUGUAGAGGUGAAAUUCGUAGAUAUUCGGAAGAACACCAGUGGCGAAGGCGACUCACUGGACAGGUAUUGACGCUGAGGUGCGAAAGCGUGGGGAGCAAACAGGAUUAGAUACCCGUGUAGUC